rnacentral:rRNA from 1 species
UUAAGCGACUAAGCGUACACGGUGGAUGCCCUGGCAGUCAGAGGCGAUGAAGGACGUGCUAAUCUGCGAUAAGCGUCGGUAAGGUGAUAUGAACCGUUAUAACCGGCGAUUUCCGAAUGGGGAAACCCAGUGUGUUUCGACACACUAUCAUUAACUGAAUCCAUAGGUUAAUGAGGCGAACCGGGGGAACUGAAACAUCUAAGUACCCCGAGGAAAAGAAAUCAACCGAGAUUCCCCCAGUAGCGGCGAGCGAACGGGGAGGAGCCCAGAGCCUGAAUCAGUGUGUGUGUUAGUGGAAGCGUCUGGAAAGGCGCGCGAUACAGGGUGACAGCCCCGUACACAAAAAUGCACAUGCUGUGAGCUCGAUGAGUAGGGCGGGACACGUGGUAUCCUGUCUGAAUAUGGGGGGACCAUCCUCCAAGGCUAAAUACUCCUGACUGACCGAUAGUGAACCAGUACCGUGAGGGAAAGGCGAAAAGAACCCCGGCGAGGGGAGUGAAAAAGAACCUGAAACCGUGUACGUACAAGCAGUGGGAGCACGCUUAGGCGUGUGACUGCGUACCUUUUGUAUAAUGGGUCAGCGACUUAUAUUCUGUAGCAAGGUUAACCGAAUAGGGGAGCCGAAGGGAAACCGAGUCUUAACUGGGCGUUAAGUUGCAGGGUAUAGACCCGAAACCCGGUGAUCUAGCCAUGGGCAGGUUGAAGGUUGGGUAACACUAACUGGAGGACCGAACCGACUAAUGUUGAAAAAUUAGCGGAUGACUUGUGGCUGGGGGUGAAAGGCCAAUCAAACCGGGAGAUAGCUGGUUCUCCCCGAAAGCUAUUUAGGUAGCGCCUCGUGAACUCAUCUCCGGGGGUAGAGCACUGUUUCGGCAAGGGGGUCAUCCCGACUUACCAACCCGAUGCAAACUGCGAAUACCGGAGAAUGUUAUCACGGGAGACACACGGCGGGUGCUAACGUCCGUCGUGAAGAGGGAAACAACCCAGACCGCCAGCUAAGGUCCCAAAGUCAUGGUUAAGUGGGAAACGAUGUGGGAAGGCCCAGACAGCCAGGAUGUUGGCUUAGAAGCAGCCAUCAUUUAAAGAAAGCGUAAUAGCUCACUGGUCGAGUCGGCCUGCGCGGAAGAUGUAACGGGGCUAAACCAUGCACCGAAGCUGCGGCAGCGACGCUUAUGCGUUGUUGGGUAGGGGAGCGUUCUGUAAGCCUGUGAAGGUGUACUGUGAGGUAUGCUGGAGGUAUCAGAAGUGCGAAUGCUGACAUAAGUAACGAUAAAGCGGGUGAAAAGCCCGCUCGCCGGAAGACCAAGGGUUCCUGUCCAACGUUAAUCGGGGCAGGGUGAGUCGACCCCUAAGGCGAGGCCGAAAGGCGUAGUCGAUGGGAAACAGGUUAAUAUUCCUGUACUUGGUGUUACUGCGAAGGGGGGACGGAGAAGGCUAUGUUGGCCGGGCGACGGUUGUCCCGGUUUAAGCGUGUAGGCUGGUUUUCCAGGCAAAUCCGGAAAAUCAAGGCUGAGGCGUGAUGACGAGGCACUACGGUGCUGAAGCAACAAAUGCCCUGCUUCCAGGAAAAGCCUCUAAGCAUCAGGUAACAUCAAAUCGUACCCCAAACCGACACAGGUGGUCAGGUAGAGAAUACCAAGGCGCUUGAGAGAACUCGGGUGAAGGAACUAGGCAAAAUGGUGCCGUAACUUCGGGAGAAGGCACGCUGAUAUGUAGGUGAAGCGACUUGCUCGUGGAGCUGAAAUCAGUCGAAGAUACCAGCUGGCUGCAACUGUUUAUUAAAAACACAGCACUGUGCAAACACGAAAGUGGACGUAUACGGUGUGACGCCUGCCCGGUGCCGGAAGGUUAAUUGAUGGGGUUAGCGCAAGCGAAGCUCUUGAUCGAAGCCCCGGUAAACGGCGGCCGUAACUAUAACGGUCCUAAGGUAGCGAAAUUCCUUGUCGGGUAAGUUCCGACCUGCACGAAUGGCGUAAUGAUGGCCAGGCUGUCUCCACCCGAGACUCAGUGAAAUUGAACUCGCUGUGAAGAUGCAGUGUACCCGCGGCAAGACGGAAAGACCCCGUGAACCUUUACUAUAGCUUGACACUGAACAUUGAGCCUUGAUGUGUAGGAUAGGUGGGAGGCUUUGAAGUGUGGACGCAAGUCUGCAUGGAGCCGACCUUGAAAUACCACCCUUUAAUGUUUGAUGUUCUAACGUUGACCCGUAAUCCGGGUUGCGGACAGUGUCUGGUGGGUAGUUUGACUGGGGCGGUCUCCUCCUAAAGAGUAACGGAGGAGCACGAAGGUUGGCUAAUCCUGGUCGGACAUCAGGAGGUUAGUGCAAUGGC